rnacentral:lncRNA from 1 species
UGAGGUACAUCGAACCAUGAUAAAUUUGAUGUGUUUGUGUGCGUGUGAUCUUAUUCCUCUUCUACAUUUGCUUUUAGUACAUUAGCUCACUGCACCUUCAACAUACUUACAUUUCUGCCUGCACACAUAUAGUUUUAAAUUUAUUAAAAGUUUUAAUAACCUAAUUCACCCUUCCCUCUUGAGUUGUCUAGCUGGACAACAAUAUCUUUUUAAAAAUAAUGUAAUUGAUUUUGUUAAAAUUUAAUAUAGAUAUAUCGUUGAAAUUUUUAUGAAUGACUG